UACGUAGGGUGCGAGCGUUGUCCGGAAUUAUUGGGCGUAAAGAGCUCGUAGGCGGUGUGUCACGUCGAUCGUGAAAACUUACAGCUUAACUGUGAGCGUGCGGUCGAUACGGGCAUCACUGGAGUUCGGCAGGGGAGACUGGAAUUCCUGGUGUAGCGGUGAAAUGCGCAGAUAUCAGGAGGAACACCGGUGGCGAAGGCGGGUCUCUGGGCCGAUACUGACGCUGAGGAGCGAAAACGUGGGGAGCGAACAGG
rnacentral:rRNA from 1 species